rnacentral:rRNA from 1 species
GAUACCCUGGUAGUCCACGCCGUAAACGAUGUCGACUUGGAGGCUGUGGUCUUGAACCGUGGCUUCCGGAGCUAACGCGUUAAGUCGACCGCCUGGGGAGUACGGCCGCAAGGUUAAAACUCAAAUGAAUUGACGGGGGCCCGCACAAGCGGUGGAGCAUGUGGUUUAAUUCGAUGCAACGCGAAGAACCUUACCAGGAUUUGACAUCCUACUAACGAAGCAGAGAUGCAUUAGGUGCCCUUCGGGGAAAGUAGAGACAGGUGGUGCAUGGUUGUCGUCAGCUCGUGUCGUGAGAUGUUGGGUUAAGUCCCGCAACGAGCGCAACCCUUAUUGUUAGUUGCUACGCAGCACUCUAGCGAGACUGCCGUUGACAAAACGGAGGAAGGUGGGGACGACGUCAAAUCAUCAUGCCCCUUAUGUCCUGGGCUACACACGUAAUACAAUGGCGCAUAACAAAGGGAAGCAAAGCCGCGAGGUGGAGCAAAUCCCCAAAAGGCGUCUCAGUUCGGAUCGCAGGCUGCAACCCGCCUGCGUGAAGUCGGAAUUGCUAGUAAUCGCGGAUCAGCACGCCGCGGUGAAUACGUUCCCGGGCCUUGUACACACCGCCCGUCACACCAUGAGAGCCGGGAACACCCGAAGUCCGUAGUCCAACCGCAAGGAGGACGCGGCCGAAGGUGGGUUUGGUAAUUGGGGGUGAAGUCGUAACAAGGUAACCAAU